UAUUAUGUACUUUGAUAGAAGACCUAAAGUAUCCUCAGAUACUGUUCAGUUAUGUUUGAAAUACCUAGGUCUAUUCUCACCACAAACACCCAGUCUAUGACUGUGAGUGAUGCCCUCCCACUUUUCUUUGUUUAGUGUCUGUGAAGAUGGUCAGGUGUUUUGAAGGGAACUGGUCCGGGAACUUUAAAGAUGGAGUUACCCAGAUGGAAUGGACUUGCAGUUCCAACUGGAGCUGAUCCAAUUUCAGCGCUGUGCAUUAUGGCCAAUGCUGGGUCUUUGCCUCUGUCAUGUGUACGGUUAAUUGAAAUUUGACUAUCCACUUGAAUAUCAUUCACCAUUAGAGGUCUUUCCAGUGGCAAUAUACAUAUCAUUGUCUUGAGUUGUCUUUGUGUGUUUCGUUCUUUUUUCAGUUAUGACAGUUUUGGGGGUCCCAUCAAGAGUUGUCACAAUCUUUAACUUGUUAUGGGGCGGUAGGGUAGCCUAGUGGUUAGAGCGUUGGACUAGUAACCGGAAGGUUGCAAGUUCAAACCCCCGAGCUGACAAGGUACAAAUCUGUCGUUCUGCCCCUGAACAAGCAGUUAACCCACUGUUCCUAGGCUGUCAUUUAAAAUAAGAAUUUGUUCUUAACUGACUUGCCUGGUUAAAUAAAGGUAAAAUAAGAAAUAAAUGGCUGGGGGCAGUAUUGAGUAGAUUGGAUAAAUAAAGUGCCCAGAGUAAACUGUCUGCUACUCAGGUCCAGUUGCUAAUAUGUGCAUAUUAAACACUCUGGAGUUUCUAAAACUGUUUGAAUGAUGUCUGUGAGUAUAACAGAACUCAUAUGGCAGGCAAAAACCUGAGAAAAAAAUCCAACCAGGAAGUGGGACAUCUGAGGUUUGUAGUUUUUCAACUCUUUACCUAUUGAAUAUACAGUGUCUAUGGGGUUAUAUUGCACUUCCUAAGGCUUCCACUAGAUGUCAACAGUCUGUAGAACCUUGUUUGAUGCUUCUACUGUGAAGGAGGGGGGAAUGGGAGCUGAAUGAGUCAGUGGUCUGGCAGAGUGCCACGAGCUGGUCACGCGCGUUCACGUGAGAGUUAGCUGCGUUCCAUUGCAAUUCUACAGACAAAGGAAUUCUCCGGUUGGAACAUUAUUGAAGAUUUAUGUUAAAAACAUCCUAAAGAUUGAUUCUAUACUUCGUUUGACAUGUUUCUACGGACUGUAACAGAACUUUUUGACUUUUUGUCUGGCCUGCGUGUCAUGAAUUUGGAUUACUGGGCUAAACGCAUGAACAAAAAGGAUGUAUUUGGACAUAAAUGAUGGACUUUAUCAAACAAAUCUAUCAUUAACCUUUGAUGAUCUUCAUCAGAUGACACUCAUAGGACUUCAUGUUACACAAUACAUGUAUGUUUUGUUCGAUAAAGUUCAUAUUUAUAUACAAAAAUCUGAGUUUACAUUGGCGCGUUAUGUUUAGUAGUUCUAAAACAUCCGGUGAUUUUGCAGAGCCGCAUCAAUUUACAGAAAUACUCAUAAUAAACAUUGAUAAAAGAUAUUACUAUUAUGCAUGGAAUUAUAGAUACACUUCUCCUUAAUGCAACCGCUAUGUCAGAUUUCAAAAAAGCUUUACCGAAAAAGCACACCAUGCAAUAACCUGAGUACAGCGCUCAGACAACAAAUCAAGCCAUACAGAUAUCCGCCAUGUUGUGGAGUCAACAGAAGUCAAGAAAUAACAUUAUAAAUAUUCACUUACCUUUGAUGAUCUUCAUCAAAAUGCACUCCCAAAUCAAAAAAUGGUGUGAAAUACUUCUGUCUUUGAGGAAUUUUAAUUAUGAGAUUUCUGUGCUUUUGAAUUUGGCGCCCUGCACUUUCACUGGCUGUUGUCAUAUCGAUCCCGUUAGCGGGAUUCAAGCCAUAAGAAGUUUUUAACUCCGCCCAUGACACCAAUGGAAAUAUGGUCAUCGAGGAAUAUUACACCAACACUGGGGGGAAAAAAGAAAAUGUAAACAAAUUAUAUCUCUAAGGACAGCAUAUGAGUUGGUGUUCAAAAUGUAAUAUGUUUUGGUCUGCAAAAAAUAACACUGUUUUCUCUGUCAUCUGAGAUGGUUGCAUCACCUCUUAUAGUAUUUAGCUUUUUAUUAUUUUUGGGUGUGCAGUCAUGUACGUACAUGUAUGUCCUAAAUGUAUACAAAUAUUUCCAGGAACUGACCUGUGUCAAGGUUUUGGCGGUUGGCAGGUAUUUGGAUCCAGGUCAAAUACCUUAUUCUAUUCAAUAAUCACUUUCUGUUCAUUAAAUCAUUAAGAUGACAGAUUGAAAGCUAAGACUAUGCUGUUUUAAUCUCAUUUUGACCUUUGAUUCUCUGAAAUAUCUCAAUAUCUCGAUCGUCAAAUGUUUGCCCUUUCAAUAGAUAGCCUAUGAUCAUUCUGACAUGUCUUUAAGUGAAUAGAAUGAUAACAUCUGCAACAUCUACAGGAAUAUUCAGCUGUAGUCCGUGUCCAGUGAAAGGCCCCAGAAAGCGAUGUUAUGACUCUUUGUACGAUACUCCAUUCAUCUAUGCGUCGGUCAAUGUGGAGGUUGUCAUGGUGAUAGCGAGGAAUGGUGUUGGGGACGAGUGUGUACACACAGAGGGUCUGUUCUCACUAAGAACGUGGACUCGGAGAGACCUCAGAGCCUCACCUGUGCUUACAAGUGUACUGAAAGUAAGACAGUGCUAACAUCAGGAAAUACCACCCAACUAAAUCACAACUAUACAAAAAUGAUUCUGCUGUCAAGAUACAGAGGUCUGACAUACUUACAGUAUACUUGUUUCAGGUACCCAUGCAACGUACUUGUAAAAAUGUAAAAGUGAAUCAUUUUGGUUUUAGUUUUUCCAUUAUGUAUUUUGUUGUUUGUCACACCUCAUCCUCUGUCCAUUUCUCUCCGUAGCAACAGUUCAGAGUUUGUAGGUUUCCUUGAAGAUUGAGACAGUGGCAAGGUUGGGGGAGAACAUUUACUUGUGCACAGUGGUGUAAAAUACUUUAAGUACUACUUAAGUAGUUUUUUUGGGGUAUCUGUACGUUACUAUACUAUGUAUAUUUUUGACAAUUUUUACUUUUACUUCACUCCAUUCCUAAAGAAAAUGAUGUACUUUUUCCUCCAUACAUUUUCCUUGACUCCAAAAAGUACCUUGACACCCAAAAGUGAAAUGGUCCAAUUCAGGCACUUAUGAAGAGAACACGUGGUCAUCCCUACUGCCUCUGAUCUGGCGGACUCACUAAACACAUGCAUCGUUUGUAAAUGAUGUCUGAGUGUUGGAGUGUGCCCCUGACUAUCCAUACAUUUACAAAACAAGAAAAUGUUGCUUGAAAUUAUUUAUACUUUUACCAUUUGAUGCUUAAGUAUAUUUUAGCAAUUACAUUUACUUUUGAUACUUAAGUAUAUUUAGAAACAAAUACUUUUAGACUUUUACUCAAGUAGUAUUUUACUGGGUGACUUUCACUUUUACUUGAGUAACUUUCUAUUACGGUAUCUUUACUUUUACUCAAGUAUGACAAUUGGGUACUUUUGCCACCACUGCUUGUUCGUCACUGUCACCAACAGGGUGAAAGACCCCAAGGUUCCGAAGGAAAAUCUCAAUGUUCAAACAAAGGAAUACAAUGGCAGCCCACGGAACUGUUCUGGGAGGCACACAAGCACUUUCAUAUGGCACAUGUGCAGGUCAUUGGUGGAGAUAACAUUCAGCUGGAGAAGGAGCACAGGAGCCUGGUUUCUUCCACUGAUGCUUUGGCUAAUCCUUUGAGCGGUGCUGUGCUGACAGUGGAAGGCUCAGGAUUGAUCAAGGGCAAAGACCAGACAAAGUGUACCUAGUGCCAUCAGGACAGACCAUGGAGAAAAAAUGUUUAUUUCACCCCCCACAACAACUGGCACAAAACUGUUGCAGGCAAGCCUGGUUUACAACAACAGUCCCACAGCCAUCCAAGCCUUCCACAAAGUCUCUGUUUCUGCAUAAGGCAUGAUUGCUUUCUACUGAGCACACUGAAGGAUGUGAGUGUUUGUAAUAUCUUCACUUUGCUUUUGCUAAGUUAAUGUUCAAAUGUGUUAUUCCUAUUUUUGAUUUGUUUCAAGAAAGAUUUGUCAACAUAUUGAAAAUGUUUUCUCUACAUUUCAUAAAAAUCAAGCAAGUCCCGCCUUCUUCCCUGAAUGCAUUGUGAAAUAAUCAAUCAAUGCAAUGUGGAGCGAGCAUGGCAUUAUUGUUAUGUACCUCUUGACUGGUUUUUGUAUGUUAAUGGGAGUGUAUGUCCCCCGUUAGAACAUGAGUCCCUCUAACAGACAUUGUGUUGUCCAGUGACUACUAAGAUGAACUCCUAUUGGAUGAUAAGGGGCUAUCAUACCACUCACUGGUAGGGAGUGUUUCCUCGACAGACAGUGUGAGGGAAACGUUUUACAGAGAUAAGAGGCACAUGAAUAAACAUGGAACAUGAUAGAAUGAACAACAUUUACAGUGAAGCUUAGCUCUCAGAUAUAGUGCUGUCCCAAUUGUUAAAUGACAACAUUGACGUUUUAUUAGAUAUAUGUAUAGGAUACACAUGGUUUGUACUGUCCAACUAAAUGCUUACAGGUUCCUUCUCGACAAUGCAACAAUUGGAAAUAAAAGUUAAGAAAACAAACAUUAAAUGGCUUAGUAGAAUAUAGACAUUUUAGCAUCAGUAUAUAAAACAGGAAGGCACCAUUGCUGCCAACACACUGACUCAACUCCAGCCACUUUAAUGAUGGGAAAUGAUGUAAAAUAUAUCACUAGCCACUUUAAACAAUGCUACCUAAUAUAAUGUUUACAUACCCUACAUUAUUCAUCUCAUAUGUAUACGUAUAUACUGUACUCUAUAUCAUCUACUGCAUCUUUAUGUAAUACAUGUAUCACUAGCCACAUUAACUAUGCCACUUUGUUUACAUACUCAUCUCAUAUGUAUAUACUGUACUCGAUACCAUCUACUGUAUCUUGCCUAUGCCGCUCUGUACCAUCACUCAUUCAUAUAUCUUUAUGUACAUAUUUUUUAUCCCCCUACACUUGUGUGUAUAAGGUAGUAGUUUUGGAAUUGUUAGGUUAGAUUACUCGUUGGUUAUUACUGCAUUGUCGGAACUAGAAGCACAAGCAUUUCGCUACACUCGCACUAACAUCUGCUAACCAUGUGUAUGUGACAAAUAAAAAUUUGAUUUGAUUUGGGAUAUCUUCAACCACCAACUUACCAUCCUGAGACAAGGCUGAGUAUAGCCCACAAAGAUCUCCGCCACGGCACAACCCAGUGACUCAACCCACUCAGGUGACGCACGCCUCCCAGGGACGGUAUGAGAGAGCCCCAGUAAGCCAGUGACUCAGCCCCUGUAAUGGGGUUAGAGGCAGAGAAUGCCAGUGGAAAGAGGGGAACCGGCCAGGCAGAGACAGCAAGGGCGGUUCGUUGCUCCAGAGCCUUUCCGUUCACCUUCCCACUGUGGCACCACUGUUGUGGUGCCAUAUUCUUUCCAUUUCUUUAAUAACGCAUUUAAUGGUGAUCCGUGGGAUGUUCAAAGUCUCUGAUAUUUUUUUUUAUAACCCAACCCUGAUCUGUACUUCUCCAUAACUUUGUCCCUGACCUGUUUGGAAGCGCCUUGGUCUUCAUGGUGUUGCAGACUCUGUGGCCUUUUAUAUACAGAUGUAUAUAUACUGAGAUCAUGUAUCAUGGAUCACCACCUCAAGCUGAACCUCGGCAAGACGGAGCUGCUCUUCCUCCCGGGGAAGGACUGCCCGUUCCAUGAUCUCGCCAUCACGGUUGACAACUCCAUUGUGUCCUCCUCCCAGAGCGCUAAGAACCUUGGCGUGAUCCUGGACAACACCCUGUCGUUCUCAACUAACAUCAAGGCGGUGGCCCGUUCUUGUAGGUUCAUGCUCUACAACAUCCGCAGAGUACGACCCUGCCUCACACAGGAAGCAGCGCAGGUCCUAAUCCAGGCACUUGUCAUCUCCCGUCUGGAUUACUGCAACUCGCUGUUGGCUGGGCUCCCUGCCUGUGCCA